UUAUUUGACUAGCAUAGUUGAAAUAAUGAAAAGAAAAGAGUACUAGAGAAUAGUGGAACAAGCUAUCAAAUAGCGUCUGGUGACUUUCAGCUUCACAAAGACAGGGGAAUCAAGAGUUCAGCAUGAAAACAUUCUCUGAAAUGGUCUACUCAUUGGUUGGAUUUUCUGCUUAAAUUGUAGCUAAUGAGAAUCAAGAUUCAUCCAAUUUUGGCAUAUGAGGAAAAAAAAAAGAAGCAAGAUUCAUGUCAUAUGGCACAGAAUGAAGUAAUUUUCCAGACGGGCAAUCAAUAUUUCAUUUUAGACCAUGAAAACAGAAGCCCAAGCCUAGGAGACUCCAGCCACCUGCCUUCUCAGCGUAUUUACAUCAGUGGCUGACCAUACAUCGGAGGAAAUCAGGUAACUGCAGAUAAAUGUCACAAUAAAUUCAUGGUCUCCACAACCGCAAGGGGGCCCUCACCACUUCUAAGAAAUCCCUUUUUCUAUGUUUCCUCAGCUCUUUUUCAAGAUCCUUUGGUACUUAUUUCAAACAAACAAGCAAGUGUAAUAGUGCUGGCAUCCAGGACAAGCAGUUUCAAAGGCACCCUGAAAACAACUCUAAAUUCAUGUUGUGACUAACAGAUCAGGGUGAUGAUUAUCAACACAGGACAUCUGAAAGCAUCCUUCUUUAACCAGUCAGGCCUCAGGUAUUGAGGCAAGUAGAAAUGUUCUGGGCCUUGGCUGAGGUGGACCAACCGUAUCUUCGCCUUGCUGUUCAACAUUUUGUUGGGCCUAACUUUAAAAUUCAGCUUACGAUCAGCAAGAAUAGUGAAAGGAGGAAGCUUCCCAGUUUUAGGCACCGAAAAAAAAAUUGCUGCCUGACCAGCCAUUGUAGCAAAAGGCGAUUAAGGGUGUUCCAAAACU